rnacentral:rRNA from 1 species
UACGUAGGCAGCAAGCGUUGUUCGGAGUUACUGGGCGUAAAGAGCUUGUAGGCGGUCUGUCGCGUCUGCUGUGAAAAUCCGGGGCUCAACCCCGGACUUGCAGUGGGUACGGGCAGACUAGAGUGUGGUAGGGGAGACUGGAAUUCCUGGUGUAGCGGUGAAAUGCGCAGAUAUCAGGAGGAACACCGAUGGCGAAGGCAGGUCUCUGGGCCACUACUGACGCUGAGAAGCGAAAGCAUGGGGAGCGAACAGG